CUGAGUUUUGGUAAUGUCGACAUUUUAAAGCUCCUCCCCACGGCUGCUUGUAUCUUCAAAUAGAUUAAAACCAUAAAAACAUUGAGUAUUCCACACAUAAUUCCUAGAUAACUUUCAAAUACUGAGAAUUUAACACAAGCAAGGACAUAGUAUUGGAAUUUAUUGUGUUGUGAAUGCUGAGUUUAGUAAUGUCGACAUUUUGAAGCUCCCCACGGCAACUUGUAUCCUUAAAUAAACUAAAACCAUAAUAACACUAAAUAUUUCACACAUAAUUCCGUGAUACUUUUCCAACACUGAGAAUUUAACACAUACAAGGACAUAGUAUUGGAAUUUAUAGCGGGCAAGGAGAAGAGAGUGAAUUCCUUGAGAGAGCCACAGUUGAUGAUGGCGUCGGUACCUGCCGCCAAGAGACACGGUUGACCUAACUGGAGUGCCGUUAUAUUUUCAGCCUGUAUAGAGGUGACAGUGCCGUGACAGAGGUGGUGGAGGUUAUUAAUGCACCAAGGAACAGGUGUGUAAGGUGUGGCAGUGGUGUUGAUAAGGGAUUAGUGUGUAAGGAAGGAAAGAAUUGUGGUGGGCCGAGUGCACAACAAACAGUGGUGAUGGCCGUGUGGUGUUGCUUAUACACCCCAUAAACACCCCGCAACACAUCCACAACAUGCCCAUUUACACCCAAACACACAAAGUGAAGUGAUGACAUUCCCGACAGCACCAGCGGCAAGACAAGAGACCAAUGCAACUCUUCACCACGACUCUCCACAACGCCUCACCAUCAUUUAUUUCAGGCUCAGGCGUGUAGAUGGGAGCAGUAGAAGAAA